GGAAACCUGGAAUUAAAAAAAAAGGAGUGAAAUUAACUGAAACAAGAGUCACUGAUCUAAAUGAAACAUUAUGCUUCACUGAAUACUAUAAAACGGACCUUUUCUAAAGCCUUUAAAUAAUAUUUGUGUCAAGUCUAAAAAAUAAAAUAUAGGUUUUGAAAUAGAUACCGAUGCUCUUCAGGAGCCACUGGUGGUGUAAUCACGAGCCUGCUUCUCUCCCCUCUAUGAAUAGUAAACGGUGGAAAACAGUCCAACCCAUGCAGGGUCGUCAUCAGCUUUCUUGCAAAACAGAAACCCAGGGCCCUAUUUUCACUGAAAAUGAACUUCUUUUUUCAGUUUAUAGUUGCCCGAAGUAUUUAAAAAUAGGAAACUGCAUCAUAAAACAGUAAAGAAUAAUUCUGUGUUCCCCUGGACUUUGAAGAGGGCACAAGCAUCUCUAUCUGCUGGCUGUCAUGACUGCUCAGCCCCUAUUUCCUACUCAUUUUUCACAUCAUCUCACCUCGAAUUUCUCACAUUUCCCACUUAGCCAGACGUCUUGCUGCUCAGUGGCUUCAUACCUCUCAUAGCGUGAGGCCGUGGUGGCCGUCCGGGGCUGGCAGGCUGACACACGAGUGCCAGAUACUUCCCUACUGCUCUGGAGGCCAGUCCGCUGGAGGUGGAAUCCACUUGUUUGUCGUGAGUAUCCUGCAUGUUUCCCCGAAAAGAAAACCAAGAUAAAUGGUCACCCUGGUUGUGCUUCAGCCGUGGAGAAUAAGGACCAAGCCUUUCCACUCUUGAGGGCAUGGACCCCUGGGGGCAUAUGGAUGGGUUUCUGGGAGAUCACCAACCUCCUAAAAUAGCAUAAUACCACGAGUGACUGGUCCACAGCUUUCGUCAGAUUCUUGGAGAGGAUAACUGCGAUUAAGGGAAAGCUUUUGAAACUUAGGGAAAAGAUGCUAAACAUAUUUAUGGCAGAAACCUAUAUUUCAUCUUUGACUCGCCAACAGCCAGGCACCGAACUUGACGGACAGUAAGGGCUACAAGAUGUGUGUUGAAUGGAUUCAUGAAUGAGACCAAAAUCAAGAACACUCCAGACAAGGCCUGGUUGACCCUCCUGUGCUGUUCCUUGGAUUUCAGUGAGUGUCCUGUCACUGCAUGUCAACGUCCUGGACUUGGGCUGGGAGUCUCUGGGUGACUUCAGCUCUUGUUUGAUUAUUCAGACCACCGGGCCGUGUGCCAGGAGCUCACGACCGCCGGCUUCUGCUGUUGAAGAGGUGACCCCUGGCUCUCACUAACAGCUUCCAGCACAGCUGAGCAGUUAAACCUCUGGCUGUGUCUAUAUUAUGUAGCCAGAUUAUCCUGACAUACAAGGUCCUGCAUGCCUGACUCUCGUUUUACAGUCACGUCUGCUUGUCUUGACUGUUGAACACGUGGUCCCAUUUGUGCUGUGCAAUACCCUGUUAGCAAUUUGAAAUGUGAUUUAGCAAGAGGUGAUAAAAUCUUCCUUAAAAGCUGUUCUUGAGUCUCUUCUUGGAAAUACUGAAUUUAGAUA